CCCAUUGACACUAUCGGCAUCAACAUGUAUCCCAAGAAGCCGCCGCCCGCGAAACUCACUGACAACUUUAUAUCACCCUGGAGUGUGCCUUCCAGGGAAAAUUCACCUGUGCAAAUGAACCCCAUUGACACUAUCGGCAUCACCAUGUAUCCCGAGGAGCCGCCGCCAGGG